AAGGAAGCAUUGGUUUUUGCAGAUUCCUUAUCCACAACUAAAAGACAGUAAAAGAUCCCAUCUCUCACCAUCUCGUAUAUGCCAUAAGACACAUUCUUUGUUAUGUCCGGAAAGAGGUGGAGCUCAUGAAGGAGGAGUCUUACAUUUGACUUAUUAAUUUCGUAUUUUUGUAAUUCAAAGUAAGAUAUUUUGAGACAGAGUCUAAUGCAUUCACCCUGAAAAUAGUGUAUAUGAGAUUAAGGACGCAAUUCAUUAAUUUCGGGUUUCUAGAGUUUCUUGAUUUGGAUUUAGCUCUUUAUUUCAACAUAUGCCUGAUUAUACAGUCUAGAUAGUUGCUUCUCUGUAUAUUUUAUUCUUGAAGCUGUGUUGAAGAACUUGGAUUCUUUGUAAUUGGAAGCUUUCCAUCAUAUGUGCACUUCAGUACGUGGUUUCCUCACUAUCUGAGGUCCUACUGGAACAUUUCGAGUCUUUGGUCGAAUGUCCUGCAUGAACAUACAAAAGCAUUUAUCAUGUUGUCAGUCUUAUUUUUCAGUUGUUAACUAAUUGUUGAAAGAGCAAACUCAAGCGUUUUACUUAAGUAGAGUACAGAUGGACACAAUUCAUACCUGAUCGAAGAUGGCCGUAGGUAUUGCUAGUGUAGCAACGGCAUUCGGAGAAUCAACUAUCCCAGAUAUUCUUCCUUCACAUGGACAACAUGAAAGCAAGAGAUCCUACAAAUGCUGCUGCAGAGACCAGUACCUGUUCUUUUGAGUAACCAAAUUUAAAGAGAUAGUCUAUGGCGUUGAGAACUGCCCGUUUGUAAGCAACUGUUGCAUCUAGGUACUGUUGUCUUCCGGUCUCAUCGACACUGAUACCCUUAAAGACCAGCCACUCUGAGAAUCUCGGUUCCACUGGCCCUAUCUCAAAGAUGGGGUUUACAUGGAGAGGGGUAGGUCUUAUUGGUGUAAGUUCCCUCCGUUUUCUCUUCCUGGUAUCGUCCUGGCAGCCUCGUUUGCAAUCCUUUCCCAUUCCGGUGUUCCUUCUUCAAUCUACAUGAGGCAGGAUUAUGCCUUGUCAGUCAAAGGAGUUCCAUCGAUGGUGCGGUGCCAAUGACUCCCGGGUGUGUCAAACCCGGAAACCGUACCCUAC